GACGAACGCUGGCGGCGUGCCUAAUACAUGCAAGUUGAGCGAUGAAGAUUGGUGCUUGCACCAAUUUGAAGAGCAGCGAACGGGUGAGUAACGCGUGGGGAAUCUGCCUUUGAGCGGGGGACAACAUUUGGAAACGAAUGCUAAUACCGCAUAACAACUUUAAACAUAAGUUUUAAGUUUGAAAGAUGCAAUUGCAUCACUCAAAGAUGAUCCCGCGUUGUAUUAGCUAGUUGGUGAGGUAAAGGCUCACCAAGGCGAUGAUACAUAGCCGACCUGAGAGGGUGAUCGGCCACAGUGGGACUGGGACACGGCCCAAACUCCUACGGGAGGCAGCAGUAGGGAAUCUUCGGCGAUGGACGAAAGUCUGACCGAGCAACGCCGCGUGAGUGAAGAAGGUUGUCGGAUCGUAAAACUCUGUUGGUAGAGAAGAACGUUGGUGAGAGUGGAAAGCUCAUCAAGUGACGGUAACUACACAGAAAGGGACGGCUAACUACGUG
rnacentral:rRNA from 1 species